GGUGGCUGUGCAUGAGGACUAACUGAUGAGUGUAUGGAAUUCUGUCCAUUGAGUGGCUGUCAGGUGGUGUGAGGGCUGCCUGCUGCCUUUCCUGGGGCUCACAAAUGGAUUUUUACACAAAUGAUGUUUUCCUGAGCACAGCAAGGAGCAUUUCAGCCGGGGUGUAUCCCUGCCUGCUGCCAGCACUGCCUGAAUGGUUUGUCUACCCAAGGGAUAUCCAAGAGGUUUCUUUCUCCGUGCUGCUGGGAUUCACCCUGGAUCAUCUGGAUUGCUGAGACACCGUCUGAAAUCUCUCCAAGUACGUACCCCCACUGACCAAACCUGCCUCCUCCGGUCCGUGUGCUCCUCCAGCAGCCAGCUGCCAUGGCGAUGCAGCAGGCGGAUCCUGCUGGCUCUUAAAAAUCAGCCUAAAGAUCUCUCGAGACCAGUGAUUUUGUUGAAAAACCUUCACGGAAAGGCUUUUGCCACUCUGAAGGCAAUUAGGCACCUGCCUGUCCUGAACUGGAAAUCUGCCAAAACAGAGCUGAAAGGUGAAAUCCUUGUGCUGCAAACACAGCGCUUUCUGGAUCCCGCUUUCCAGUCCGGGGGGUGUCCGGAUCCCACCGAGGACGGACGGCGUUCAUCUCAGCUGCAGACGCAGCUGACAGGUGAGCCUUCCCUCUCGUUGGCCCUUGUAAAAGGAGACCAGGCAGAAGGGGCCGCCCGUGGUGCUGGGAGGCCAGCCCAGAGAUCAGUUUCUCCACCAGCAUCGUGGGGAGUGAGUGCAUCGGUCACAGACCGCUCCCAGUGCCUGGGUUGGAAGAGGCUGCUGUGUUUCCCUUCUUUGGAAAUAAUCCCGCUGUCCCUCUGUAAGUGCAGGGAACCUGACGAAGCACAGGGUGUUGCAGGGGUGGUGAGCUCCAUCUGGAGAGCUGUCUGCUUUGAAGUCAGAUGCUGUUUUAAACUCUGCAGGGUACUUUUGCUUAGGAAAAGCAGCAGUUGUCAGUAAAGACUGAUCUUGGUCCAGAAAUUUUUGCUGCUCCCUGACUUAUUUUCAUAUUUAUUAGUCAUUUGCAAUCUCUUUGAUGACUAAAUGCAUGUUCAGCUUGGAGAAAACUGUUGCAGUAUUUGCUGAGGUAAGUCAGGGCAGAGGAGAUGCUGACCACGCUGGCCAUGCUAACGAUGGUGCAUCUAGAUUAGUCAUUAUUAAUUGCCAUGGCAGCCCCAGCGCUGCUGAGCAGAUGCUGAGGUGACUCAUGGAGCCAGCAGGAGCCCUGGGGAGGUUGUUCUGAGCUCUCACCUAGGGGCAGUUGUUCCAUAAGGCUGCAGGUUAGAAAAUGUUGUGCCUGUGGGAGAGGGACAGCGCCAGGAGCUUCUGGGGGUUCUUCUCCUGCCUCCAAUGGCACAGGAGGAAGGGGAGGCUUCACGAAGAGUCAAUAACACAGCAGCACCAUCAUCCAGGGGGUUGCUGUCGAAGACACUCCAUCCUAACCCAACGUGUUCCUGGAGCUGCUCUGCACAGCUGUCAGCAGGUGUGGCCUGAUGGGCCCCGAAUCAGCUCCAGUGAAACACGGAUUCUGAAGAGGUUUGGACUCCAUUGGCUCGGGUGUUUGUUUGUAGAAGUCCAGACUUCAGCUGUGAAAUCCUGAUCCAGCUCUGCCCAGGACCCUGGAGUAUUUUCUGCUGCUGUUUUGUCCUGAGCCCUUUCCAGAAAGCAAAGCAGCUGCCAGAGGUCAGAGAUGAGGAACCUGGAAGGUGUGUGCCUAAAGAUGGGUGCCAGGUUUGGAUCUGCAUUCCAGCUGGACCAAAGCAGAGCUUCACCCCAUGGGAAUGUUAAUCCUGGGCCUUGGCUUAGAGCCAUCUCUGGCUUUCAUGGUUUUGGAACUGAAAAGGAGUGCCAGGCUGUCCAAGAGAAGAACAAGCCCUUAUACCCAGUGAGAACUCACAACUGGCUCCUUAGCACUGAAACCCAUCAAACUCCACCCCACUGGACUCAUUUUGAAGCUACCAGUCUCCAUGGGCUGCCAGAACACUCUGCUUCCCCCCAGCCCAGCCAGAACCCCUGAGCUGGAGCUGCCUCCUCCAUCCACUGGUGAAGGAGAAACCAAAUAGGAGAGGUUGCUCUUGGGUCUCUUUGAGGGGGACGCAGCCUUUUUAUUAGGUUCAGAUGUUGUUUUCUGCCCCGGGCUAUGCUGGAAAGUAAAGCAGAGUGUGUUAAUGCUGGCUGGAAGAACCUCUGUGGAAACAGGCUGCAAUGAAGCAGGUUCCUCCUGUGCCCGUUUCCUGGGGGAAUGGGGGAGACGGGUCAGUGUGGGAGGCACGGGCAUGGGCAGAGUCACCCCUUGCUGAGCUUCCCUUACUCUCUAAAAUCUCCCAGCAGCGAGUGUGGCUUUAGCCAGCCUCCCACUUCUCCAGGGCUCUUGGGCACCUGCUGUCCCCUGGCCAGUGGCAGCUGUCCCCAAGCCAAUGGCACCCAGAGGGAGAGCUGGUGCCCGUGCUGAGCUGACGGGUUCCUUCUGGAUCUGUUCCCUGCUGGGAGAUGUGGAGGUGGAGGACUCUCUGCGAAGGUCAAGGCUGUUCUCCAGAUGUUAUUUUUCACCAUUAGGCAGUGUUUAAACACACUGUGAUUUCCCUCCCCGUUUCUUUCGGAGCGCACGUAGAGGAGAGACCCUUGGAGGAGCGAAGUGAGUGGCAGGGGGAGGGCAAAGGAAACCUUCCCAGAAAGCGCUGAGCUGGGCUGCCCAUUAGCAGAGCCGGGCUCCAGAGGGUCCCUGCCGGCCCGUGCCAAGCCUGGAGGCCUUUGGAACACGUGGCUCAUUAACAGAGUGGCUCAGCCACGGCCAGGCUCGCUCACGGGGCUGGUGCUGCCAGAACAAGUCCCGGGGGACUCGGAAAGGGCCUCAUCUGCAGGGUUCAGGGCAGAGCUCUGCUGAGCAAAGCACCCUGAGCCUCAAAGGCUGCUCCCCCAUUCCCUGCUCCACUCCACCUUCGGUCCACUUGGAAAACGGGCUCAGACUAGAGCGGGAAGGACACUCAGCUCCUGUCCCAGAUACUGAGGAGCCUGCGUGGCGCUGGGUGCUCUCUCCUCUGGGUCAAUGUGUAUCUCAGGGUAAAGCCGGUGCUCAACCAGCCAAGGAUGCUCCAAGAGACGCUGCCAUCCCGAAAUGCCUCAUUAGCAGCUGGACUUGAAGUAAAAACCCCAGCCCUGCCCCUCCAGGACCAUCCUACUUGGCCACAGCAGGCUCAAAACAUGCUGUGCAUCGUGGCCUCUCCGAGCCGUGCUCGUCAGCAGAUAAAAUGAAUAUUCUGGAAGUGCAGGCGCUAAAAAAAAAAAAUCACUGUCGGAAGCACAGCAAAACCCAUCUGCGAGUGGAAGAGGUCAAAGAAGAAUACAAAGGCUUUUAUUUCCUGGAGGCAUUUGUCAGCAAGACAAAUGUGGGGGUUUUUUUUAAAUUUGCUGCCAUUUCCUAGCUGGCCGCCCACGCAAGCGCCAAAUGGACUUUCACUCGCAUAGCGCCGAGUGUUGGCUUGUGUCCUUUGUAAUCCAACGCUCAGGAAUCAGGCGGAGUCUGGAUCCCUGUCUGCUAUCAGUGAGUGGGGCAUAUUUAAAGGAUAUGGGCAGAUUUCAACGCUACAUCUAUAACUAGUUUAUUGCUGGUGCGCUCCUCUCUUGCCCUUAUUAUUUAUGUUGAUAAUGAUAAACGAGGGAUUGAUGAUUCUGGCUGGUUAGUGAAUAAUCAGGUUAUUUCACUGCAAGGCCCCAGGGGAAGGAAAUGUUUCUAUAGUCCUCCAUCAAAGAGAAAGCGGUUUGCACGCGCGUGUGCAUCUGUUGUUCGCUCCUGCCCUGCUCUGAGUGGGUUUUGGUGUGGUUUUGCAGCCUCCCUCUGCAGGUGUGCCUAUGCCCAGGCACUCCCAUGCUGCAUCCCAGCCCAAAAUGUUUCCCAGUCUACUCAGUCCCUCGGCACCAUCAGCAGCAGCCACGCAGUGGAGACCAACUCUCUGGAGCAGUUUGGUCUCCAGAGAAGGAGAUUUUGGUGUCCUGUGGUGGGAGGGUGCAGCCAGGAGCCCCGGGGCGGUGCAUGGAGAGCCCCAACCACAGCAGUCACCUUGGAAGGAGCCCAUUUGUAUUUCAAGGAGCUGCAAAUAUCUGCUUGGUCUCAGGAUUUGCUUGUGAGACAGGAAGAACCUUGGGGAGAUGAUCUGAAUGUUUAUGUAUAUAGAAAUGUCUAAUCACCAGGCUCAGAACAGGCUCGGGAAGGGAAUCUGGAGGUGGUUAGCUGGAGAGGAGGAUAUUUUUAUGCUAGAAAUGUGCUGUCCGCCUGUUUGUAGGGUAGGAAGGAUACGAUGAGAAUCAAAGGCUUGGCAGGAUGAGCAUUUUCAUCCUCCUAGAUGUGAACUCCCCAUCUGCCGUGGACUCCAAGGCGUGGAACUAUUUAGAUCCAAUAUCAUUAUUAGAAGCAGAAAAUAGAGCUCAUAAAACUCCCUCCUUACACCCCAAAAAAGCAAUUCCAGGACCCUUUAUCCUACUUGAGAACAAGCCAUUCCUGCAUUAAUUUCCCUGCUGUGACUGGGCUUGUUGCCAGGAGGAGCCUCAGUGCUUUGGCAGAAGAUGCACGGCCCUGGGGCAGGUCCAGUGUCACCAGAGCAGGGGAUUUGGGAGCUGAGCUGGGGAAGGGCAGUGCGGUGGCCAAGCCACGUUCCUGCCAGGCUGUGGAGUUUUGCAGGGGCUGCAUCUGCAGUGGGGAUUGCUCCCACAAGCAAUGUGAUGGAAACCAGCACUGGAUCCACAUCCCAGGGCUGGGCAGACGCUGCUGAGGGCAGCUGGCAGUGCCAGCCCUGGAAGUCACCAUCCUGCCACCAAUGCCAAGCAUCCAGAGGCCCCACGCAGCCAUCCUGGGGGCUCAACUGCUGAAGCCAAGGUGCCCCCUGAGGCACUGAACCUGCGACACAGGACACGAGGAGGUUGCAGAGCUGCGUCUAAAACAUCCCAGGUCCAGACUGUGACAUUGCCAUCUGCUGAUGGAGAGCAAAGACCCAGCCCAAGGUCUUGCACUGAUGGUUUUGCAGCAGGGGGACGUUUUUACUGCUCCAGGAUCAGGUUCUUAGCCAUGAGCUUGUCUCCCAUCCUUCAUCCCAGAAGCAGCUCAGCCGAGAUUUGUGUCCAAAAGCUUGGGAUGAGGACACGGACACUUACCCUGCAGCUGAAGCAAGCUUCUUGCAUAACAUGGCUUCGCUUCUCCUUUCCAUUCCUUAAGAGUUUUACAGCUGUUUUCAUCCAAGCCCAUUGACUUCAUCCCUAUAAAUCCAAUGAUUUUUCCAUAAGGAUUAGUGUCAGAUUCUCCCUGCAGACAUCUUGGGUCUUGGAAGACAAAGGAGCGCUCUGCUAGCGGCUGGCGGGUGAGCCUGAGGCAUUCACAGCAGUGGCUUUAAAAUGCACUUCAUGGCCAGGCAGGGUUUUAGCCCCAGAGCAGCUCAUCCACUGUGAUCUGGGAAGCCAGGACACAGGAGGGAACCCAAUAGUGCACUAGAAUGUGGACACCUGGAUAUGAAAUAAGCAUUGUGUGGCCUCUUCCAGCCCUUGAAGGCCAUGGAAAAGCUGGGAGAGGAACUAUCUAGAUCCAACACCACGGCUUCAUAGCUGGGUAGAGCAAGGUUAAGGUGAAGAGGGAACCUUUAGAGCGAAGAAAUGGUGAAACUGACAACCAGGGAAAUCCUGCAAGGUAAAACUGCCUCUGAGAGCUCCUCCUCAGCUUUCCCUGGGCAUGCAGAGCAGGGUUUGCACAUCACAGCACUGACUGACUGUGCCACAGCCACCCAUCCACGGGAGCUGAAAUCCACAGAAAGGAAUGGGCACACCAGAAAUGUUCCCUCUGGAGGGAAAAAGGGCAUUAGGCAUCAAGUAAAGGGGUAUGGAAUAGGAAGGAAACUCUGCAUACAUCAGCAUGAGGGUUUGAGCAUUUUAUUACAGUAUAUAAAUUUUGUCUCCUUAAAUUACUCUCUAUGAGUUGAACAGAAAGGGAUUAUGGUGGAGGAAGGAAUAUACAAAAAUAAAAGGAUAUCGUGAGCUACUGCAUCACCACAUAUACAACAGUAAAGUACUUUACAAGCAUUUAGAGAAUCAGACUUACAAAAAUAAAAAUAUGACACAUCCUAAUGCAUUUCCACCACUUUUAAGUUCUCUUCUUCCUUCUCUAACCUUCAGACACCUUUCAAUCCCAUCCGCAGGUCACAAUUCACAUGAUAGGAUACUUUGCUCAUUUUGAUGGCAAUUACAGUAUCUGAAAAAGAAUUAGUGCCUCCCAAGACUUAUAAAAUCCAAUGGUUAUAGAGCUUUAGGGGGGAUGUUCAGAACAGAUCAAUUUGUGAGUGAUCAGGUGAUCCUUCAGGGAGCAGACUUUAUCUGGCAAUAAAAAUCUGAAUAUCCCACAAGAAGAUCCAUCAUCCCCUAUAAAACAUUCCCCCAUCUGCACAGAGGCGCAGCUCUGCAUGCUUGAUGGAUACACACAGAGAGUGCCUCUGUGAGCCUGGGGGAUGCUGAUGCUCACAGACUUCGGCAGGACUGAAGGACUGUGACAGAGGAUGGAUCUGAUUUUGUUUCAGCUCUAAAAAAGGCAAAGAUACCUUCUGCUACAGGGGAAGAGGCAGGUUAAAACCACAAUGGCUAAAUAUCCUAGCUCACAGUGUUCACACACAGAACCAUUCACCUCCAUGUCAGACUCACGGCAGUCUUUAGUCUUCAGUUUGCUCUACAAAGUCUUUUUUGCUCAUUAGCCUUCUGGUGACCUUUCCCAUUUUUUUUAAAGACACACUCAACAUAAAUAGUAAACAGCAUUCACUUCUCUGACCAGCAGCUCACUCAAACACUGCUAUCAACACCCAAACACCAUUUCAUCAGUCCCAGAAAGUGUGCACCCAGGGUGCAAAUCUGUCUGUAUUUCACAUUGAGGAAAGUAGAGCUGGCUUAGGAAGGAAAAAAAAAAAAAAAAAAAAAAAAAGGCAAAAAAGAAAGACAAGCAGUAAACUUUUGGUCAGAACUGUUCUCUGCAGUUUGUGCAACGUAUUCCACAGCUUCUGAAAGUUCAAUAUUUGGUUAGGGUGUCAUCUUAUUGGCCCCAAAUGCAAUGACAGCAAUGCAGGCAGACCAGACAUGAGCAUGCUCUGUUGCAUUUCAGGGCGAAAGGAUCAUAGGGAUGAAGGGGAGGGAGAGCCCCAUCUUUGAGAUAGGGACUUCCCAUAUUGAAAAAAACAAUCCUCCCCCUGCCAAAAAUAGAUAAGGGCAGUGUCUGACUUUACCCAUCAGGCUGGCAGAGCUGUGGGCAACAUGCCUGCACAUCAGGAUCCUGGGGAGAAAAAGUGUAGCCACAGUCCCAGCUGUUGAAGGAAACUCAUCUUUCCAUGGUCUAAAUUUAUCAUUUGUGUCUUUGAGAAGAUACACAGGAAAAAAGAUGUGUUGGCUGAGAUCAACAACACUCCAUUUAAAAGAGAAGUACCUCCCUAGUGGGACUCAUUGUUCCUUUUAGGUGUACAAACACACUACAGGUAUGGCCCAAGGCACUUCUUGGCUGCCCAGAGCGAUUAUUCAUUGGCAGCACAAAAACACAA